UUCGGAUUGUAGUCUGCAACCCGACUACAUGAAGCCGGAAUCGCUAGUAAUCGCGGAUCAGAAUGCCGCGGUGAAUACGUUCCCGGGUCUUGUACACACCGCCCGUCACACCAUGGGAGUCGGAAAUGCCCGAAGUCGGUGACCUAACUGAAAGGAAGGAGCCGCCGAAGGCAGGUCUGGUGACUGGGGUGAAGUCGUAACAAGGUAAC
rnacentral:rRNA from 1 species